GAUGAACGCUGGCGGCGUGCCUAAUACAUGCAAGUCGAGCGAAGCGGGGACGGGUGAGUAACACGUGGAUAACCUCCUAUAAGACUGGGAUAACUUCGGGAAACCGGAGCUAAACCGGAUACUUAUAGAUGGAUCCGCGCUGCAUUAGCUAGUUGGUAAGGUAACGGCUUACCAAGGCAACGAUGCAUAGCCGACCUGCGAGGAUGACCAGCCACACUGGAACUGAGCCCCGGUCCAGACUCAUACGGGAGGCAGCAGUGGGGAAGAUUGCACAAUGGGCGCAAGCCUGAUGCAGCCAUGCCGCGUGUAUGAAGAAGGCCUUCGGGUUGUAAAGUACUUUCAGCGGGGAGGCGUUACCCGCAGAAGAAGCACCGGCUAACUCCGUGCCAGCAGCCGCGGUAAUAC
rnacentral:rRNA from 1 species